AUUGAACGCUAGCGGCAUGCUUAACACAUGCAAGUCGAACGGCAGCGCGGGGAGCUUGCUCUCUGGCGGCGAGUGGCGGACGGGUGAGUAAUACGUAGGAAUCUGCCUUAUAGUGGGGGAUAACCCGGGGAAACUCAGGCUAAUACCGCAUAAUCUCUCAGGAGCAAAGCGGGGGACCUUCGGGCUUCGUGCUAUAAGAUGAGCCUACGUCGGACUAGCUAGUUGGUGGGGUAAAGGCCUACCAAGGCGACGAUCCGUAGCUGGUCUGAGAGGACGAUCAGCCACACUGGGACUGAGACACGGCCCAGAAUCCUACGGCAGGCAGCAGUGGGGAAUAUUGGACAAUGGGGGAAACCCUGAUCCAGCAAUGCCGCGUGUGUGAAGAAGGCCUUCGGGUUGUAAAGCACUUUCAAUAGGGAGGAAAACCUAUCGGCUAAUACCCGGUGGCUUGACAUUACCUAUAGAAAAAGCACCGGCUAACUCCGUGCCAGCAGCCGCGGUAAAAC
rnacentral:rRNA from 1 species